GAUGAACGCUGGCGGCGUGCCUAAUACAUGCAAGUCGAGCGAACAGACGAGGAGCUUGCUUCUCUGAUGUUAGCGGCGGACGGGUGAGUAACACGUGGAUAACCUACCUAUAAGACUGGGAUAACUUCGGGAAACCGGAGCUAAUACCGGAUAAUAUUUUGAACCGCAUGGUUCAAUAGUAAAAGACGGUUUUGCUGUCACUUAUAGAUGGAUCCGCGCUGCAUUAGCUAGUUGGUAAGGUAACGGCUUACCAAGGCAACGAUGCAUAGCCGACCUGAGAGGGUGAUCGGCCACACUGGAACUGAGACACGGUCCAGACUCCUACGGGAGGCAGCAGUAGGGAAUCUUCCGCAAUGGGCGAAAGCCUGACGGAGCAACGCCGCGUGAGUGAUGAAGGUCUUCGGAUCGUAAAACUCUGUUAUUAGGGAAGAACAUAUGUGUAAGUAACUGUGCACAUCUUGACGGUACCUAAUCAGAAAGCCACGGCUAACUACGUG
rnacentral:rRNA from 1 species